AACGAACGCUGGCGGCAUGCCUAACACAUGCAAGUCGAACGAGACCUUCGGGUCUAGUGGCGCACGGGUGCGUAACGCGUGGGAACCUGCCCUUAGGUUCGGAAUAACUCCCCGAAAGGGGUGCUAAUACCGGAUAAUGUCUUCGGACCAAAGAUUUAUCGCCUUUGGAUGGGCCCGCGUUGGAUUAGCUAGUUGGUAGGGUAAAAGCCUACCAAGGCGACGAUCCAUAGCUGGUCUGAGAGGAGGAUCAGCCACACUGGGACUGAGACACGGCCCAGACUCCUACGGGAGGGAGCAGUGGGGAAUAUUGGACAAUGGGCGAAAGCCUGAUCCAGCAAUGCCGCGUGAGUGAUGAAGGCCUUAGGGUUGUAAAGCUCUUUUACCCGGGAUGAUAAUGACAGUACCGGGAGAAUAAGCUCCGGCUAACUCCGUG
rnacentral:rRNA from 1 species